CUACCUUCCCGCUAGUACCUCCCCCUUCUGCUCUUUUUUUCAAUAGCAGCCCUUUCUCAAAAUCUCAGGUUACUUCGCUAAAGAGUUCUCAGCCCUAUAGUUUCUGCCCUCGUCUCUGCCUCCAGCUCCUUAAGAGCCACCCAGCCCCAGCGAUUGGAUUGGGCAGCCCGUCUUGACACACCACUGUGCUGAGUGCUUGAGGACGUGUUUCAACAGAUGGUUGGGGUUAGUGUGUGUCAUCACACUCGAGUGGGGAUUAGGGGAGAGAGGCAGCCUCGCUGGAGCUGUGUGGUCUUCCCCAAGUGCGAGCCGCAAGCGAAAGAAGAACUACCUAGCUUGGGGGGAGAAGAGGGCGGAAUCGUUCCCAGCAGCUCAGAGGGAAAAACAAACCCCCACAGUUUGUUCAGUAAAAAAGGACUGAACUGUGGAAGAGUGGAAAAACGAUGACAAUAUUUCUUUCCUGCAUAAGAAAAAGGUUUCGCCUAUAAUAAACUCACUAAGCAAGACA
ensembl:lncRNA